CCAAGACUCUGGAAUAACUUCGGGAAACCGGAGCUAAUACUGGAUACGAGACGUAAAGGCAUCUUUAGCGUCUGGAAAGAAUUUCGGUCUUGGAUCGGCUCACGGCCUAUCAGCUUGUUGGUGAGGUAAUGGCUCACCAAGGCGACGACGGGUAGCCGGCCUGAGAGGGUGACCGGCCACACUGGGACUGAGACACGGCCCAG
rnacentral:rRNA from 1 species